rnacentral:rRNA from 1 species
CCUACGGGGGACAGCAGUGAGGAAUAUUGGUCAAUGGACGCAAGUCUGAACCAGCCAAGUAGCGUGCAGGAUGACGGCCCUCCGGGUUGUAAACUGCUUUUAGUUGGGAAUAAAAGGGGGCUCGUGAGCCCCGUAUUGUAUGUACCAUCAGAACAAGGACCGGCUAAUUCCGUGCCAGCAGCCGCGGUAAUACGGAAGGUCCGGGCGUUAGCCGGAUUUAUGGGGGUAAAAGGGAGCUUAGGCCGGCUGUUAAGUCAGCGGUGAAAGUCCGCGGCUCAACCGUGGAAUUGCAGUUGAAACUGGAGGCCUUGAGUGCACACAGGGAGGCCGGAAUUCAUGGUGUAGCGGUGAAAUGCUUAGAUAUCAUGAAGAACUCCGAUCGCGAAGGCAAGUGUCCG